rnacentral:rRNA from 1 species
GACCGCGGCCAACUGUUUCGGUUGAGAGUUGUGGAAGGGAAGGGGAAGGAUGUAAGGAGCAGGAGGAGUCAGAGAGGGGAGAGUAGGGGGUUGUUUCCUAGGGAGGAGAAGUGUGAGGCAGAGCGGUGUAAGCCUCGAGCCUAGGUUGGUGACGAAUAGGGUGGGCUAGGGAGGGUUUAGUGGGUGCGUGGGCUAAGCGAGGAGGGGACGUUUCUCUCCAGAUAUGGGGAUGGAACUAAGCCGCCGGCCGCGGUACCGCUCGCCGUCGCUCGUCGGCGUCCGCCUCUGGCUCGGGCUCCGCCACCUCGAGCACGACAAGGUCCAGCGGCUCACGAUGCAGAUAGACUAUGGAGGAUCCUUCUGCCGGCGGAGAAUGUCCCGACUACUCACCUUACAGUUGUUUACCCGAACCCUUCCCCGUGAAUUCCAACGGUCGUUCCCUCUUCUUACAUAGUAGUUUGAUCUUCUGUUCUCGUGACCACUCGACAUACGAUCCCGUAAAGACUCUCUUCCGCUUGGUGUAGGCCACCUUCGACAUUAACUAUCGUCGUCUAUAAAACAUGAAGCGCAACUUCUCUUAUAUCUACCCGCAGUCGCAGUACGAAAAUAUCCAAAUCCGAAGGCACUUUCUUGACUUCGUAUACUGAAGGUUCGACGAGAUGUACUGGUAUACUUUAUAGAUUUGUUCUUCUUCUGGCGACUUCUCUACCACGUCGUGAUACUCUUAUGCAGUAGUCACCUAAUAUCGGAGUUUCUUCCCCUUUGAAAUCAAGAAGUUGAUUUUUUAUUUCUUUCACCGUCGUUCUGUUUUAGACGUAAAAAGCUCGUUCCGGACUUGUUCGACAGCAAGUUACUUUUUCGUUUGUGGUUCCUCCGGUGUCACAGGGAGUUUGAGGGUGGUGGAGGUGGGAGUGGGCACAGAGGUUGACUAAGACCUCAACGGUACAGGGGAAAGUUUCGUCUUAAAGGAAGGGUCCUUGUUGGUCCGUGGCCGCUACGGUCUCUGCGGCGGCGAGGAAAGUUUCGUCUUAAAGGAAGUGUUCUUCUUCGUGACCUACUAUGGCACCUUCGAUCUCGCCUUCGACGAGGAGCAUUAGUUGGUCGGCGUCGUCUGUUCUCGUUUGUUCCUUCGCACCUACUACUCAAACUGAAACCCCUGAAGGUCCGACGACGAACUUAGUACAUAGGACAUGUAUGCAGUUGAAAUAAUGCACCUGUGUAUGUACACAGGAAAGAAAAAGAACCUAGAGGGCAGUCAACACUGAAAAAAAAGCGGUGGGCUCAACAACAUGUCUCUCGACAGUAUACUAUUCGGCAUAUUUAAUUCUUAUGUAUAUAUUCGGCAUCUUGUGCAACUACCUUUGUAAGACCUAAAAAAAUUCGUG